CAGUCGCCGCGGGAAUACGAGGGGGGCAAGCGUUGUUCGGAAUUAUUGGGCGUAAAGGGCGCGUAGGCGGUUUGGCAAGUUUGGUGUGAAAUUCCCGGGCUCAACCUGGGGGCUGCGUUUGAUACUUGGUUGCUUGAGUGGGGAAGAGGGUCGUGGAAUUCCCAGUGUAGAGGUGAAAUUCGUAGAUAUUGGGAAGAACACCGGUGGCGAAGGCGGCAACCUGGUCCUUGACUGACGCUGAGGCGCGAAAGCGUGGGGAGCAAACAGGAUUAGAUACCCCUGUAGUCCCUGUCUCUUAUAC
rnacentral:rRNA from 1 species